rnacentral:lncRNA from 1 species
GAGGUAGUAGAUGCCCGAGGUGGGUUUGAGCCCCAGACUUCCCCCUAGCAAGAUGGCACUCCUCCCUCCGGCCCAUGCUUGCCUCCCCGAGGCCGGGGUGUUCUCCUACCCCGCUGGGAAAAGCCGGCCUCUGCCUACUGGGAGUCCAGGACCUCCUUCCUCAGGCCACCUUCGCGUCCCUCUGCUGGCGAUAAAUAAAGGAAGGGUGCCUAGGAAAACUGAUCUAGCGCAGUGAUUCUUUUACCUCGAGGCGCUCCAAGGCCUCCACAUUGCUUCUAUUCUUUUACUGGCCCCCUCCCUUUCUGCCAGGACCUCAGACCCCGCUGUUCCCUUUGCUGGGUCCGCCUCACCAAGAUUAGAAUGCAGUCCUUCCUGAUUUCGCCCCUUGCCUUUAAAGCUCAGCCCGGGCACCCCCAGCUAAGUGAAGUCUGUCUCGUUUCUCCAGGCCCCCCAUCUAUUUGUACUGUUCCGAACUUCCUCAAUUUCCCACCUAUUAGUGACUCAGCCGUGUAAGCACUCCAGGAAAAACCAAGCAGGGACUAUUUCAUUUUUCGGCUUUAUGUCACCGUCUCCUGGCAAUGUGCCUUAAGCAAAAGCGCCCAAUAAAUGUGAGCUGAGGCCUAGAUUGGGGAAAGGACUUGGCACAGGUCGUGGGGCAAAGUUGUGGCAAAAAGGAUUUAGAGCCCAGACGUCUUUCAGAACAUAUGUCUUGAGUUCCCCACUGUAUGAAUCGGGAAAUUGUACAAAAGCAUACAGCUUGGUAGGGAAGAUAAGAAGCGCUUCAAUAUGUAUUACAGAAGGCUCCCGAUCUUCCAGCUCUGGCCCUCUGCCUCCUAUAAGGACCUCCUUGGUUCUGAGCCAUUCUUGAGUGUCUUCUACCUCUGUAUUCCAAGUUCUAUGUUCUAAGGUCCCUCCCAACCCUGACAUAUCCUAUCUUUUUAUCUGCUGAUUUGCCUUAUCCCUUCAUUCGUCCUAUAUUUAGCUGCCAUUGUUACCAAACAUUGAGCAUAGAUACGCCACAACACUAUACCUUGGAAAGGGGAGGAAGUAGGGGUGAAGGUUGGGCGUUGGUCUGUGAGGAAGAAGGCAACCCAAAUCCUAUUAAUCUGGAGCCAAGUUUCCAUCCCUCCAUUAACCUGGACAAGUCACCAGAUGAUCUUGGUCCCAACUGGUUAUAUAAGCAACCAGACCUGCCCCAGGGGUCUCAGGAAUGCAAUUCGCAGUGCAGACCAAAAACAUGCCUACUGGGUGUAGAGCACCUUGAUGAAGAAGAUAACCAAGAAGGUAACAGGACAUUAUGGUGCCAUAAAACAAUAAAUGUGAAAAAUCCAAGAAAAUCCAGAAGAUCUGGAAGCAAAAGUAAGACCAGUGAGAUCAGAACAAAAUAGUAACUGACUUGCAACUGGAGAAAACAGAAAAUUAAACAGAAGUGGCCCCCUGGGCAAGUGGAUGAAGAUCAACAUGGGAGGAAUUAUAAGACA